rnacentral:miRNA from 11 species
UAAAAUUACGUUGAAAAAUCGUCU